rnacentral:rRNA from 1 species
AACGAACGCUGGCGGCAUGCCUAACACAUGCAAGUCGAACGAGAUCUUCGGGUCUAGUGGCGCACGGGUGCGUAACGCGUGGGAAUCUGCCGUUGGGUUCGGAAUAACAGUUGGAAGCGACUCCUAAUACCGGAUGAUGACGAAGGUACAAAGAUUUAUCGACAGAGGAUGAGCCCGCGUAGGAUUAGCUAGUUGGUGUGGUAAAGGCGCACCAAGGAGAUGAUCCUUAGCUGGUAUGAGAGGAUGAUCAGCAACACUGGGACUGAGAAACGGCCCAGACUCCUACGGGAGGCAGCAGUGAGGAAUAUUGGACAAUGGGCGAAAGCCUGAUCCAGCAAUGCCGCGUGAGUGAUGAAGGCAUUAGGGUUGUAAAGCUCAUUCCCCUGGGAUGCUAAUAACAGUACCGGGAGAAUAAGCUCCGGCUAACUACGUGCCAGCCGCCGCCGUAA